rnacentral:rRNA from 1 species
UACAGGAAUUAGCUUGCUAAUUUGCUGACGAGUGGCGCACGGGUGCGUAACGCGUAUAGAACCUACCUUUUACUGAGGGAUAGCCUUUAGAAAUGAAGAUUAAUACCUCAUAUUAUUUAGAUAUGGCAUCAUGUUUAAAUGAAAGAUUUAUUGGUAAAAGAUGGCUAUGCGUCCUAUUAGUUAGUUGGUGAGGUAACGGCUCACCGAGACAGCGAUAGGUAGGGGUCCUGAGGAGGGAGAUCCCCCACACUGGCACUGAGACACGGACCAGACUCC